AACGAACGCUGGCGGCAGGCCUAACACAUGCAAGUCGAGCGCGCCCUUCGGGGUGAGCGGCGGACGGGGGAGUAACGCGUGGGAACGUGCCCUUUUCUACGGAAUAGCCUCGGGAAACUGAGAGUAAUACCGUAUACGCCCUUUGGGGGAAAGAUUUAUCGGAAAAGGAUCGGCCCGCGUUGGAUUAGGUAGUUGGUGGGGUAAUGGCCUACCAAGCCGACGAUCCAUAGCUGGUUUGAGAGGAUGAUCAGCCACACUGGGACUGAGACACGGCCCAGACUCCUACGGGAGGCAGCAGUGGGGAACCUUAGACAAUGGGGGCAACCCUGAUCUAGCCAUGCCGCGUGAGUGAUGAAGGCCUUAGGGUUGUAAAGCUCUUUCAGCUGGGAAGAUAAUGACGGUACCAGCAGAAGAAGCCCCGGCUAACUCCGUG
rnacentral:rRNA from 1 species